rnacentral:rRNA from 1 species
CCUACGUGAGGCUGCAGUGAGGAAUAUUGGUCAAUGGGCUUACGCCUGAACCAGCCAAGUCGCGUGAGGGAAGACUGCCCUAUGGGUUGUAAACCUCUUUUGUCAGGGAGCAACGCCGGCUACGUUUAGCCGGACUGAGAGUACCUGAAGAAAAAGCAUCGGCUAACUCCGUGCCAGCAGCCGCGGUAAUACGGAGGAUGCGAGCGUUAUCCGGAUUUAUUGGGUUUAAAGGGUGCGUAGGCGGAAUGCCAAGUCAGCGGUAAAAUCGCGGGGCUCAACCUCGCUCCGCCGUUGAAACUGGCGUUCUUGAGUGGGCGAGAAGUAUGCGGAAUGCGUGGGGUAGCGGUGAAAUGCAUAGAUAUCACGCAGAACUCCGAUUGCGAAGGCAGCAUACCGGCGCCCAACUGACGCUGAAGCACGAAAGCGUGGGUAUCGAACAGGAUUAGAUACCCUGGUAGUC